rnacentral:rRNA from 1 species
CAUUAUUGUUUAACUGAGGCAUCUAGGCUGUUGCUGACAUUUUUUGUUGUCGUGCACGCCUGGGUGCUCUCACACCAUCCAUCUCACCCUUAUGUGCACCAUCGCGUGGGCCUUCUAUGGCCUGCGUUUCACACAAACACACCCUUUAAAUGUAGAGUAGAAUGUAUUAUUAUUAUCAAUACAACUUUCAACAACGGAUCUCUUGGCUCUCGCAUCGAUGAAGAACGCAGCGAAAUGCGAUACGUAAUGUGAAUUGCAGAAUUCAGUGAAUCAUCGAAUCUUUGAACGCAACUUGCACCCCUUGGCAUUCCGAGGGGUACACCCGUUUGAGUGUCGUGACACGCUCAAAACCUUCUUGGUUUCGAUCAAGAAGGGUUUUGGAGUUUGGAGGUUUCUGCUGGCCCCCCUGUCAGCUCCUCUUAAAUGAAUUAGCAGGAUCUUGGUUUGCUGAUCCUUGACGUGAUAAUAUGUUUGUACGUCUUGGAAGGUGUUUGCUUUAUGAUCCGCUUCUAAUGGUCUCAAUCGAGAGACAGCUUCUAUUGACCUUGACCUCAAAUCGGGUGAGACUACCCGCUGAACUUAAGCAUAUCAAUAAGCGGAGGAAAAGAAACUAACAAGGAUUCCCCUAGUAACUGCGAGUGAAGCGGGAAAAGCUCAAAUUUAAAAUCUGGUGGUCUUUGGCCAUCCGAGUUGUAAUCUAGAGAAGCGUCUUCCGCGCCGAACCGUGCACAAGUCUCCUGGAAUGGAGCGUCAUAGAGGGUGAGAAUCCCGUCUUUGGCACGGAUGCGUCAGUGCUACGUGAUGCGCUCUCAAAGAGUCGAGUUGUUUGGGAAUGCAGCUCAAAAUGGGUGGUGAACUCCAUCUAAAGCUAAAUAUUGGCGAGAGACCGAUAGCGAACAAGUACCGUGAGGGAAAGAUGAAAAGCACUUUGGAAAGAGAGUGAAAGAGUACGUGAAAUUGUUGAAAGGGAAACGCUUGAAGUCAGUCGCGUCGACCGAGACUCAGCCUUGCCUUGGCUUGGUGUGCUUCUUGGGUGAUGGGUCAGCAUCAAUUUCGGGCCUCGGAUAAUGGCAAAGGGAAGGUAGCAUCCUUCGGGGUGUGUUAUAGUCUUUUGUCGGAUGCGAGGGUUGGGAUUGAGGAACUCAGCACGCGCCUCGG